UAAUCUUAUAAUGAAUAAUUUUGAUUACGAGUUACGACUAUUGAUUAUAUAUCCUAAAAAAGGAAACAAAAUACACGAAAUGUCUAACAUUUUAUUGAAGCAGUUUUUUUAUUCUUCCGCUAAAGUCUUCUGUCGCUAGAUGGUGUGUUUGUCUGUUUGAUUGUUUAUUGUCGUCUGCUUGUCUUCAUUGGAUUUUGAAGACUGGAAGAGAACUUUAUGGAAAUUGUUACUGUGUGUGUAGGCUACUUUACUAACAAAUUAUAACUAUUCAGUAUUGAGAUUCUGGUUUUCCAUACCAUUGAAACCAAAAGCCAAAUAUUACAGACCUGUGGUGACUAAUGCAGGGUCUAUUUUCCCAAAGCUGAUUACUCGACCGUGAAAGUCAACAUUCAUUCUUCGAAACAGUGGAAACACCACAGUCUUGAUGAGCUAGAGCAGGAAUUGACAAAUAGAUGGUGAUGAUUGUGUCAGUUCUGAGCUAAUGGCGGUUCGUUGUCAAAAGUUUAGCCACAGCUAUAUUUCUUCGUAGAUUAACCAAUGAAUUUACAGGAGGAAACGGGAAAGGAGCAUGCAGCCAACUGUCAACUAUUUUGUUCAAAAUCAUUCUAUGAUUGCAUCACUGUCACCCAAAUGAUAAGGUGUCUGGGAAAAAUGGCGAAUCAAUAGUCUACUCCGCGACCUGAUGGAUACAUCUGAAAAUGAUCAAAGGAAAAUACCUGGAUAAAGAAUUGUUUGUUAAAAACAAUACUUUUCAGCUAUAUCUAAAACAAAGUAUAGUAGUAUUAUUUCCUAUGAAUUUGGUUGAAGGUCAUAACUCUAAACGAAGUAGAAACAGCCAUAACAACAAACAUGCUGUUGCAGGGUACGCCACCAAAAUUGCGAGAUUCAGAAAAGAUCCUAUGGUUCAUGAAAAAGAAUACCUAUGUUACAUGAAAAAUCUGAAUUGUAAUGGUCUGGUAGCAGAAAUGGGAAUUACCUUAUCUCAGAAGAUUUGUAUUCCACUAUAUGUGGGCUUCAAACUUUAAUUUUAGGCUUUUGAUGGUGAUCACCAUCUAUUUGUCAAUUCCUGCUCUAGCUCAUCAAGACUAAUUAAAAUAAAAAAUAGAACUACGUUAUCAACUAGAAAAACGUUUACAUUUCAGUUCUUCACACACACACGCAAGUAAGGCCGUCUCAAAACCUGACCACGAAAACAUGAAACACCAUUACACCACAGACUACUUGAUUACACCAACGUCCAACUCGUUCAACGGCGACAUAUUUUACGAGUGUUUCCCCUGUGAUAAAUUGUAAAACAUAAAACAAAUGAAAAUCGUUCCACUUAGUAUAUUAAACCAGGUUACUCUGAUUAAGCUGGGAAGGACGUAA